CAUGCAAGUCGAACGAUAUCAUGCAGCUUGCUGGAUGAGAAAGUGGCGCACGGGUUGCGUAACGCGUAUGCAACCUACCUUUAUCUGGGGGAUAGCCCGGAGAAAUCCGGAUUAAUACCGCAUAAAAUCACAGGAUGGCAUUAUCCAAUGAUCAAACAUUUAUGGGAUGAAGAUGGGCAUGCGUGUCAUUAGCUAGUUGGCGGGGUAACGGCCCACCAAGGCGACGAUGACUAGGGGAUCUGAGAGGAUGGCCCCCCACACUGGUACUGAGACACGGACCAGACUCCUACGGGAGGCAGCAGUAAGGAAUAUUGGUCAAUGGAGGCAACUCUGAACCAGCCAUGCCGCGUGCAGGAAGACUGCCCUAUGGGUUGUAAACUGCUUUUAUCCGGGAAUAAACCACAUUACGUGUAAUGUGCUGAAUGUACCGGAAGAAUAAGGAUCGGCUAACUCCGUGCCAGCAGCCGCGGUAAUACGGAGGAUCCAAGCGUUAUCCGGAUUUAUUGGGUUUAAAGGGUGCGUAGGCGGCCUGUUAAGUCAGGGGUGAAAGACGGUAGCUCAACUAUCGCAGUGCCCUUGAUACUGAUGGGCUUGAAUGGACUAGAGGUAGGCGGAAUGAGACAAGUAGCGGUGAAAUGCAUAGAUAUGUCUCAGAACACCGAUUGCGAAGGCAGCUUACUAUGGUCUUAUUGACGCUGAGGCACGAAAGCGUGGGGAUCAAACAGGAUUAGAUACCCUGGUAGUCCACGCCCUAAACGAUGAACACUCGCUGUUGGCGAUACACAGUCAGCGGCUAAGCGAAAGCGUUAAGUGUUCCACCUGGGGAGUACGCCCGCAAGGGUGAAACUCAAAGGAAUUGACGGGGGCCCGCACAAGCGGAGGAGCAUGUGGUUUAAUUCGAUGAUACGCGAGGAACCUUACCCGGGCUUGAAAGUUAGUGAAUUAUCCAGAGAUGGAUAAGUGAGCAAUCACACGAAACUAGGUGCUGCAUGGCUGUCGUCAGCUCGUGCCGUGAGGUGUUGGGUUAAGUCCCGCAACGAGCGCAACCCCUAUGUUUAGUUGCCAGCAUGUAAUGAUGGGGACUCUAAACAGACUGCCUGUGCAAACAGAGAGGAAGGAGGGGACGACGUCAAGUCAUCAUGGCCCUUACGUCCGGGGCUACACACGUGCUACAAUGGAUGGUACAGAGGGCAGCUACAUAGCAAUAUGAUGCGAAUCUCACAAAGCCAUUCACAGUUCGGAUUGGGGUCUGCAACUCGACCCCAUGAAGUUGGAUUCGCUAGUAAUCGCGUAUCAGCAAUGACGCGGUGAAUACGUUCCCGGGCCUUGUACACACCGCCCGUCAAGCCAUGGAAGCUGGGGGUACCUAAAGUAUGUAACCGCAAGGAGCUUCCUA
rnacentral:rRNA from 1 species